rnacentral:rRNA from 1 species
CGGCUCAGUAACACGUGGAUAACCUACCCUCAGAUCUGGGAUAACUCCGGGAAACUGGAGAUAAUACCGGAUAAUCCGUGAACGCUGGAAUGCCUUACGGUUGAAAGCUUUAGCGUCUGAGGAUGGGUCUGCGGCCGAUUAGGUAGUUGCUGGGGUAACGUCCCAACAAGCCGAUAAUCGGUACGGGUUGUGAGAGCAAGAGCCCGGAGAUGGAUUCUGAGACACGAAUCCAGGUCCUACGGGGCGCAGCAGGCGCGAAAACUCUACACUGCGCGAAAGCGCGAUAAGGGGACCUCGAGUGCGUGCGCAAAGCGUACGCUUUUCAGAUGCCUAAAAAGCAUCUGGAAUAAGGGCCGGGCAAGACCGGUGCCAGCCGCCGCGGUAACACCGGCGGCUCAAGUGGUGGCCGCUAUUAUUGGGCUUAAAGGGUCCGUAGCCGGACCAGUUAGUCCCUUGGGAAAUCUUACGGCUUAACCGUAAGGCUGCCAAUGGAUACUGCUGGUCUUGGGACCGGGAGAGGCAAGAGGUACCUCAGGGGUAGGAGUGAAAUCCUGUAAUCCUUGAGGGACCGCCAGUGGCGAAGGCGUCUUGCUAGAACGGGUCCGACGG